rnacentral:rRNA from 1 species
UAAAGUGAUUGAUGUCAUACUUUCAAGAAAAGCUUCUAGGGCUAAUUGAUUAACUACCCGUACCGCAAACCGACACAGGUGGGUAGGUAGAGUAUACUAAGACGCGCGAGCAAACUCUUGUUAAGGAACUCGGCAAAAUUACUCCGUAACUUAGGGAUAAGGAGAGCUUUUAUUAAAACUAAAAGCCGCAGAGAAUAGGCCCAAGCGACUGUUUAUCAAAAACAUAGGUCUCUGCUAAACCGUAAGGUGAUGUAUAGGGGCUGAUGCCUGCCCGGUGCUGGAAGAUUAAAAGGAGAUGUCAGGCAACGAAGCAUUGAAUUGAAGUCCCAGUAAACGGCGGCCGUAACUAUAACGGUCCUAAGGUAGCGAAAUUCCUUGUCGGGUAA